GAUGAACGCUGGCGGCGUGCCUAAUACAUGCAAGUCGAGCGAACAGACGAGGAGCUUGCUCCUCUGACGUUAGCGGCGGACGGGUGAGUAACACGUGGAUAACCUACCUAUAAGACUGGGAUAACUUCGGGAAACCGGAGCUAAUACCGGAUAAUAUAUUGAACCGCAUGGUUCAAUAGUGAAAGACGGUUUUGCUGUCACUCAUCGAUGGAUCCGCGCCGCAUUAGCUAGUUGGUAAGGUAACGGCUUACCAAGGCAACGAUGCGAAGCCGACCUGGGAGGGGGAUCGGCCACACUGGAACUGAGACACGGUCCAGACUCCUACGGGAGGCAGCGGUAGGGAAUCUUCCGCAAUGGGCGAAAGCCUGACGGAGCAACGCCGCGUGAGUGAUGAAGGUCUUCGGAUCGUAAAACUCUGUUAUUAGGGAAGAACAAAUGUGUAAGUAACUAUGCACGUCUUGACGGUACCUAAUCAGAAAGCCACGGCUAACUACGUG
rnacentral:rRNA from 1 species